rnacentral:ncRNA from 1 species
GGUUAAGCUACUAAGAGCACACGGAGGAUGCCUAGGCGCUAGGAGCCGAUGAAGGACGUGGCGAACAACGAUACUGCCUCGGGGAGCUGUAAGCAAGCUUUGAUCCGGGGAUGUCCGAAUGGGGAAACCCGGCUGAUGUAAUAGUCAGUCACUCAUAACUGAAUACAUAGGUUAUGGUGAGGCAUACCAGGGGAACUGAAACAUCUAAGUACCCUGAGGAAGAGAAAACAAGAGUGAUUCCGUCAGUAGCGGCGAGCGAACGCGGAACAGCCUAAACCGGUCAGCUUGCUGGCCGGGGUUGUGGGACGUCUCACAUGGAGUUACAAAGGAACUGGUUAGGCGAAGAGGUCUGGAAAGGCCCGGCAUAGAAGGUAAAAGCCCUGUAGCCGAAAGUCAGUUCCCUCCGAGACGGAUCCCGAGUAGUGCGGGGCACGUGAAACCCCGUAUGAAUCUGGCAGGACCAUCUGCUAAGGCUAAAUACUCCCUAGCGACCGAUAGUGAAACAGUACCGUGAGGGAAAGGUGAAAAGCACCCCGGAAGGGGAGUGAAAUAGAACCUGAAACCGUGUGCUUACAAGAAGUCAGAGCCCUGUUUAUGGGUGAUGGCGUGCCUUUUGUAGAAUGAACCGGCGAGUUACGUUCCCGUGCAAGGUUAAGGUGAGAAGCCGGAGCCGCAGCGAAAGCGAGUCUGAAUAGGGCGACUAUAGUACGUGGACGUAGACCCGAAACCGUGUGAUCUACCCCUGUCCAGGGUGAAGGUGCGGUAACACGCACUGGAGGCCCGAACCCACGAAUGUUGAAAAAUUCGGGGAUGAGGUGGGGGUAGCGGAGAAAUUCCAAUCGAACUCGGAGAUAGCUGGUUCUCCCCGAAAUAGCUUUAGGGCUAGCCUCGGUUUUGCAGUCGUGGAGGUAGAGCACUGAUUGGGUGCGGGGCCCGCAAGGGUUACCAAGCUCAGUCAAACUCCGAAUGCCAUCGACUGAUCGACCGGGAGUCAGACAGUGAGUGCUAAGAUCCAUUGUCAAAAGGGAAACAGCCCAGACCAUCAGCUAAGGUCCCCAAGUGUGUGUUAAGUGGGAAAGGAUGUGGAGUUGCACAGACAACCAGGAUGUUGGCUUAGAAGCAGCCACCAUUGAAAGAGUGCGUAAUAGCUCACUGGUCGAGUGACUCUGCGCCGAAAAUGUAACGGGGCUAAACACACCACCGAAGCUAUGGCUUGAUGCUUGCAUCAGGGGUAGGGGAGCGUUGUAUGCAGCGUUGAAGGUAUACCGUAAGGAGUGCUGGAGCGUAUACAAG